AUUUAAAUAGUUUAUAAAAAAUAUUGAUUUGUGAUAUCAAAGAAAUAAUUAAUUAUUUUAAAUA
rnacentral:tRNA from 1 species